rnacentral:snoRNA from 1 species
AAACCUGCUCAUUUGGAAGCCUCGCGUCACCAUGGCUUUGGCUUUAGAAAAAGCAGGAAUAUUAUACAAAGGGAGACGCCCGUGUUGAGGCAGUCACUUUUGACGCCAUGCAACUCCGUACGUUUCUCACAUUUUU